rnacentral:rRNA from 1 species
AAUCUUGCGCAAUGGGCGAAAGCCUGACGCAGCAACGCCGCGUGAGUGAUGAAGGUCUUUGGAUCGUAAAGCUCUUUCGGCUGGGAAGAACCGCCAGGUGGCGAACACCCACCUGGUCUGACGGUACCAGCAGAAGAAGCACCGGCUAACUCUGUGCCAGCAGCCGCGGUAAUACAGAGGGUGCAAGCGUUGUUCGGAAUUAUUGGGCGUAAAGGGCGCGCAGGCGGGAUUGCAAGUCGGAUGUGAAAUCCCUCGGCUUAACCGAGGAAGUGCGUUCGAAACUGCAGUUCUUGAGUGUCGGAGAGGGUGGCGGAAUUCCUGGUGUAGAGGUGAAAUUCGUAGAUAUCAGGAGGAACACCAGAGGCGAAGGCGGCCACCUGGACGAACACUGACGCUGAGGCGCGAAAGCGUGGGGAGCAAAC